rnacentral:rRNA from 1 species
UACGGGGGGGGCAAGCGUUGUCCGGAAUUACUGGGCGUAAAGGGCUCGUAGGCGGCCAACUAAGUCAGACGUGAAAUCCCUCGGCUUAACCGGGGAACUGCAUCUGAUACUGGAUGGCUUGAGUUCGGGAGAGGGAUGCGGAAUUCCAGGUGUAGCGGUGAAAUGCGUAGAUAUCUGGAGGAACACCGGUGGCGAAGGCGGCAUCCUGGACCGACACUGACGCUGAGGAGCGAAAGCCAGGGGAGCAAACGGG